rnacentral:rRNA from 1 species
CCUACGGGAGGCAGCAGUGGGGAAUAUUGCACAAUGGGCGCAAGCCUGAUGCAGCCAUGCCGCGUGUGUGAAGAAGGCCUUCGGGUUGUAAAGCACUUUCAGCGGGGAGGAAGGCGGUGAGGUUAAUAACCUCAUCGAUUGACGUUACCCGCAGAAGAAGCACCGGCUAACUCCGUGCCAGCAGCCCCGGUAAUACGGAGGGUGCAAGCGUUAAUCGGAAUUACUGGGCGUAAAGCGCACGCAGGCGGUCUGUCAAGUCGGAUGUGAAAUCCCCGGGCUCAACCUGGGAACUGCAUUCGAAACGGGCAGGCUAGAGUCUUGUAGAGGGGGGUAGAAUUCCAGGUGUAGCGGUGAAAUGCGUAGAGAUCUGGAGGAAUACCGGUGGCGAAGGCGGCCCCCUGGACAAAGACUGACGCUCAGGUGCGAAAGCGUGGGGAGCAAACAGGAUUAGAUACCCGUGUAGUC